rnacentral:rRNA from 1 species
CGUAUUUAAGGUUGUGGCCCGCCGCCCAGGUAAAUCCGGGUGGCAUGAGGGUGAGAACUGAUGAGGGACACACGCGUGUGUGGACUUGUGGUGAUCCUAUGCUGCCGAGAAAAGCCUCGACGUGAGGGCAUGACGCGCCCGUACCCUAAACCGACUCAGGUGGUCAGGUAGAGUAUACCGAGGCGUUCGAGUGAAUCGUGGUUAAGGAACUCGGCAAAAUUCCUCCGUAACUUCGGGAUAAGGAGGACCCCGUGACUUCCCCGCGCCAUUGCGCGCGGUGUGGGGUUGUGGGGUCGCAGAGAAUAGGGAGAAGCGACUGUUUAUCAAAAACACAGGACUCUGCUAAAUCGAAAGAUGCUGUA